rnacentral:rRNA from 1 species
CCUACGGGCGGCAGCAGUGGGGGAUAUUGCUCAAUGGGGGGAACCCUGAUGCAGCGACGCCGCGUGGGUGAAGAAGCGCCUCGGCGCGUAAAGCCCUGUCAGCAGGGAAGAAAAUGACGGCACCUGAAGAAGAAGCCCCGGCUAACUACGUGCCAGCAGCCGCGGGAAUACGUAGGGGGCAAGCGUUAUCCGGAUUUACUGGGUGUAAAGGGGGCGCAGACGGCGAUGCAAGCCAGGAGUGAAAGCCCGGGGCCCAACCCCGGGAGUGCUCUUGGGACUGCGUGGCUGGAGUGCAGGAGGGGCAGGCGGAAUUCCUGGUGUAGCGGUGAAAUGCGUAGAUAUCAGGAGGAACACCGGUGGCGAAGGCGGCCUGCUGGACUGCAACUGACGUUGAGGCCCGAAAGCGUGGGGAGCAAACAGGAUUAGAUACCCUUGUAGUC